CGCUGACGAGCGGCGGACGGGUGAGUAAUGCAUAGGAAUCUGCCCGAUAGUGGGGGAUAACCUGGGGAAACCCAGGCUAAUACCGCAUACGUCCUACGGGAGAAAGGGGGCUUCGGCUCCCGCUAUUGGAUGAGCCUAUGUCGGAUUAGCUAGUUGGUAAGGUAAUGGCUUACCAAGGCAACGAUCCGUAGCUGGUCUGAGAGGAUGAUCAGCCACAUCGGGACUGAGACACGGCCCGAACUCCUACGGGAGGCAGCAGUGGGGAAUAUUGGACAAUGGGGGCAACCCUGAUCCAGCCAUGCCGCGUGUGUGAAGAAGGCCCUCGGGUUGUAAAGCACUUUCAGCGAGGAAGAACGCCUAUCGGUUAAUACCCGGUAGGAAAGACAUCACUCGCAGAAGAAGCACCGGCUAACUCCGUGCCAGCAGCCGCGGUAAUACGGAGGGUGCAAGCGUUAAUCGGAAUUACUGGGCGUAAAGCGCGCGUAGGUGGCUUGAUAAGCCGGUUGUGAAAGCCCCGGGCUCAACCUGGGAACGGCAUCCGGAACUGUCAGGCUAGAGUGCAGGAGAGGAAGGUAGAAUUCCCGGUGUAGC
rnacentral:rRNA from 1 species